ACUGCUCCCCCUCCAAGAGCU
rnacentral:misc_RNA from 1 species